rnacentral:lncRNA from 1 species
UAUUUUUUUUAUCUAGACUAAUUAUCACAAUAAAAAAUUACAUGAACAAUGUCAUCAGAUCAAUUAGAAAAUGGUGAUUAUGAAAAUACUUCAUCAGACGUAGAACUUCUUGAUAAAGAGCUAGAUAACCUAAAUGCUGCACUAGAUCAAGUGGAAAACUGGAGCAAUGAACUACGGGGAAAGCUUGAAGAAUUUCUAAUGGAAACAAAUCAGACCAAUGGCGGAGCCGAAAAAAAAGAAUAAACGUGCACUUCACCUAAGAAUUUUCAGAAUUUUAAGUUUACACAGUGUUAUAUUACAUAGAUAUUUAGAAAAAUUUGUUUUCUUCGA